rnacentral:rRNA from 1 species
UGGGGAAUCUUCCGCAAUGGACGGAAGUCUGACGGAGCAACGCCGCGUGUAUGAUGAAGGUCUUCGGAUUGUAAAGUACUGUCAUUGGGGAAGAACGGUUUUCUUGAAAAGAUUGAGAAGACAUGACGGUACCCAAGGAGGAAGCCCCGGCUAACUACGUGCCAGCAGCCGCGGUAAUACGUAGGGGGCAAGCGUUGUCCGGAAUUAUUGGGCGUAAAGGGCGCGUAGGCGGGCCUUUAAGUCCGGUGUGAAAGAUCAGGGCUCAACCCUGAGAGUGCAUCGGAAACUGGAGCCCUUGAGGACAGGAGAGGAAAGUGGAAUUCCACGUGUAGCGGUGAAAUGCGUAGAUAUGUGGAGGAACACCAGUGGCGAAGGCGACUUUCUGGACUGUAACUGACGCUGAGGCGCGAAAGCGUGGGGAGCAAACA